GACGAACGCUGGCGGCGUGCCUAACACAUGCAAGUCGAACGGAAAGGCCCUGCUUUUGUGGGGUGCUCGAGUGGCGAACGGGUGAGUAACACGUGAGUAACCUGCCCUUGACUUUGGGAUAACUUCAGGAAACUGGGGCUAAUACCGGAUAGGAGCUCCUGCUGCAUGGUGGGGGUUGGAAAGUUUCGGCGGUUGGGGAUGGACUCGCGGCUUAUCAGCUUGUUGGUGGGGUAGUGGCUUACCAAGGCUUUGACGGGUAGCCGGCCUGGGAGGGUGACCGGCCACAUUGGGACUGGGAUACGGCCCAGACUCCUACGGGAGGCAGCAGUGGGGAAUAUUGCACAAUGGGCGGAAGCCGGAUGCAGCAACGCCGCGUGCGGGAUGACGGCCUUCGGGUUGUAAACCGCUUUCGCCUGUGACGAAGCGUGAGUGACGGUAAUGGGUAAAGAAGCACCGGCUAACUACUU
rnacentral:rRNA from 1 species